AGUGAACGCUGGCGGUAGGCCUAACACAUGCAAGUCGAACGGCAGCACAGUAAGAGCUUGCUCUUACGGGUGGCGAGUGGCGGACGGGUGAGGAAUACAUCGGAAUCUACUUUUUCGUGGGGGAUAACGUAGGGAAACUUACGCUAAUACCGCAUACGACCUACGGGUGAAAGCAGGGGAUCUUCGGACCUUGCGCGAUUGAAUGAGCCGAUGUCGGAUUAGCUAGUUGGCGGGGUAAAGGCCCACCAAGGCGCCGAUCCGUAGCUGGUCUGAGAGGAUGAUCAGCCACACUGGAACUGAGACACGGUCAAGACUCCUACGGGAGGCAGCAGUGGGGAAUAUUGGACAAUGGGCGCAAGCAUGAUCCAGCCAUACCGCGUGGGUGAAGAAGGCCUUCGGGUUGUAAAGCCCUUUUGUUGGGAAAGAAAAGCAGCAGGUUAAUACCCAGCUGUUCUGACGGUACCCAAAGAAUAAGCACCGGCUAACUUCGUG
rnacentral:rRNA from 1 species